GACGAACGCUGGCGGCGUGCUUAACACAUGCAAGUCGAACGGAAAGGCCCUGCUUUUGUGGGGUGCUCGAGUGGCGAACGGGUGAGUAACACGUGAGUAACCUGCCCUUGACUUUGGGAUAACUUCAGGAAACUGGGGCUAAUACCGGAUAGGAGCUCCUGCUGCAUGGUGGGGGUUGGAAAGUUUCGGCGGUUGGGGAUGGAUUCGCGGCUUAUCAGCUUGUUGGUGGGGUAGUGGCUUACCAAGGCUUUGACGGGUAGCCGGCCUGAGAGGGUGACCGGCCACAUUGGGACUGAGAUACGGCCCAGACUCCUACGGGAGGCAGCAGGGGGGAAUAUUGCACAAUGGGCGGAAGCCUGAUGCAGCAACGCCGCGUGCGGGAUGACGGCCUUCGGGUUGUAAACCGCUUUCGCCUGUGACGAAGCGGGAGUGACGGUAACGGGUAAAGAAGCACCGGCUAACUACGUG
rnacentral:rRNA from 1 species